AACGAACGCUGGCGGCGUGCUUAACACAUGCAAGUCGAACGCGAAAGGGGCUUCGGUCCUGAGUAGAGUGGCGCACGGGUGAGUAACGCGUAGAUAACCUGUCCUGGUGUCUGGAAUAACGUCUCGAAAGGGGCACUAACACCGGAUAUUCUUGCUUUCUUCAAGGUAUGCAAGGAAAGGUGGCCUCUGGAACAAGCUACUGCACGAGGAGGGGUCUGCGUACCAUUAGCUAGUAGGUGGGGUAAUGGCCUACCUAGGCGACGAUGGUUAGCGGGUCUGAGAGGAUGAUCCGCCACACUGGCACUGGAAUACGGGCCAGACUCCUACGGGAGGCAGCAGUGAGGAAUAUUGCGCAAUGGGGGCAACCCUGACGCAGCGACGCCGCGUGAGUGAGGAAGGCCUUCGGGUCGUAAAGCUCUGUCAAGAGGGAAGAAGUGCAUGGUGGUUAAUAUCUGUCAUGUUUGACGGUACCUCUAAAGGAAGCACCGGCUAACUCCGUGCCAGCAGCCGCCGUAAAAC
rnacentral:rRNA from 1 species